rnacentral:lncRNA from 1 species
CAGCAACUUCAGACUAUAUAGCCAUAGAGAAAGUAAAAUAUUUUUGAACGGAGUAGUGUAUUCUGGGGAUCUGAAGAUGUGGAUUAUGUGUGAGAAGCAGUACGUACAGUAUACUAGUCGGUGAUAUAGGAAAUGACAUAAUGAAAAGAGCUUAGUUGCAAAAUUUGGUCAAUAUCGGAGCUCGACAAUUUUUCGAAGUUUCACUUUCUGGAAUACUAAUUUAAACUGUCGGUCAAACAGGAAAUAUCUAAUGUUGAUAAAGAGGGAAAUUUUAAUUGUCUCCUCUUUGUAGGAAGGAAUUUUACCUACUGCGCUUAGUAGAAAUCUGUAAAGUGACUUUCAGAACUACAAAUUCAACAGUUUUGAGUUCAGA